AUGUCACAUGCUAUCCUGAGAAGAAACUCCAGCAAGCAAGGUUUGCAGAACCUCUUGAAAAUAACCACCCAGAGGAGCGUGGAGGAUGCAGAGGAGGUGGAGCGAGAGCGUCGGCGGAGGGCCCGGGAAUCCUUCCGCAGUAUGGGCAGCAGCAGUACCUUGGGCCCUGGAGGCCCCUCACUGGACAAUGGGGCCUUGGCGGAGGAUGGCUUGUAUGAGAGGGAUCUGAAGCCCAGCAGCAGCUCUCCCUCUAUGGAGGAGGACGAGGGCUUCAGUGACUGGACCCAGCGGCUGGAGAGACGCAGGCAGCAGGCCCAGCGCAUGGAGGAGCUCAGUCAGGCCACAGAGGAGCAGGACCAGAGGCCCCUGAAUGGUGCCGCAAAGCCCCCCACACCACAUACCCUCUCUGGCUCAGCCACCCCCACCACAUCCACCUCUCGCCAGCAGAGACACAGGGCAGAAGUGGAGGAUGAAGAGGAGAAGAAGUGGGGAAGAAAGGAAAGUGAGAGGAAAGGGAGGGAGCGAGAGGAGGAGGUGGUUAGAGAAGAGAGGGAAAGAGAAGAGGAGGCAGAGAAACAGAGGCAGGAGCAGAUGAGAGUGCUGAAGAAGAGAGAGGAGGACCAAAGAUCUGAUGCUGGGGAGAAGGUGAAAGAGAAGCGCAAAGAGGUGAAGGUCUCGUACACAUCCAAAGUCGUCCUCCAUACAGAGGCAAAGCAUGGCAACGUCAACGGAGACACAGCUGGGGAGAAAGUGACAUCAUACAUGGUCAAAACCAAAUUAAGGGCUCCCAGGGCUGUGGUACAAAUGGCAGCUGCAGAGGCUGAGGAGGAGGCCAUCUUGGAGACAGAGGCCAAGCUGGAGAAGAUCCGACGGAGCCAUGCGGAGAAGGAAAACCAGGAGCUUGAGCAGCUCAAACACAAGCAGGCUGAAGCCGAGCAGGAGCUAGAGGAGCUGAAGAGGAGGAGGGAGGAGAGACGCCAGGUCAGGAAGGAGGAGGAGCGCAGGAGCAGAGAGGAGGAGCAACAGCGUCUAGCCAAGGAGGAGGUGAUGGUCAAAUACUUUGUAGACAUAUUAUGA
rnacentral:lncRNA from 1 species